GACCCAGUGGCGAAGUGAUAUCGUGUCCGCGCACCUUAUGCUGUAUAUGCGAGCGUCCGCGGAAGACACCCGUUCGAUUCGGGUCUGGGUCC